rnacentral:rRNA from 1 species
GUGAGCGGCAAAAGCUCAAAUUUGAAAUCUGGCGUCUUCGACGUCCGAGUUGUAAUUUGAAGAAGGCGACUUUGUAGCUGGUCCUUGUCUAUGUUCCUUGGAACAGGACGUCAUAGAGGGUGAGAAUCCCGUGUGGCGAGGAUCCCAGUUAUUUGUAAAGUGCUUUCGACGAGUCGAGUUGUUUGGGAAUGCAGCUCUAAGUGGGUGGUAAAUUCCAUCUAAAGCUAAAUAUUGGCGAGAGACCGAUAGCGAACAAGUACAGUGAUGGAAAGAUGAAAAGAACUUUGAAAAGAGAGUGAAAAAGUACGUGAAAUUGUUGAAAGGGAAGGGCAUUUGAUCAGACAUGGCGUUUGCUUCGGCUUUCGCUGGGCCAGCAUCAGUUUUAGCGGUUGGAUAAAUCCUCGGGAAUGUGGCUCUGCUUCGGUAGAGUGUUAUAGCCCGUGGGAAUACAGCCAGCUGGGACUGAGGAUUGCGACUUUUGUCAAGGAUGCUGGCGUAAUGGUUAAAUGCCGCC